CAGCAGAAGGUCCAACAGAGAGGGUUC
rnacentral:sRNA from 1 species